UACAGAGGGUGCAAGCGUUGUUCGGAAUUACUGGGCGUAAAGCGUGCGUAGUCGGUAUUGAGAGUCGCGGGUGAAAUCCCAGGCUUAACCCUGGAACUGCCUGCGAGACCUCAGUACUAGAGUGUGAGAGGGAUAGUGGAAUACAAGUGUAGCGGUGAAAUGCGUAGAGAUUUGGUGGAAACACCGGUGGCGAAGGGCGGCC
rnacentral:rRNA from 1 species